rnacentral:rRNA from 1 species
UACGAAGGGGGCUAGCGUUGCUCGGAAUCACUGGGCGUAAAGCGCACGUAGGCGGCUUUCUAAGUCAGGGGUGAAAUCCUGGAGCUCAACUCCAGAACUGCCUUUGAUACUGGAGAGCUCGAGUCCGGAAGAGGUGAGUGGAACUGCGAGUGUAGAGGUGAAAUUCGUAGAUAUUCGCAAGAACACCAGUGGCGAAGGCGGCUCACUGGUCCGGUACUGACGCUGAGACGCGAAAGCGUGGGGAGCGAACAGG